UUUAGACGGAGUCUGGCUCUGUCGCCCAGGCUGGAGUGCAAUGGCGCGAUCUCGGCUCACUGCAAGCUCCGCCUCCCGGGUUCAUGCCAUUCUCCUUCCUCAGCCUCCCGAGUAGCUGGGAUUACAGGCGCCUGCCACCAUGCCCAGCUAAUUUUUGUAUUUUUAGUAGAGACGGGGUUUCACCAUGUUGGCCAGGCUGGUCUCAAACUCCUGACCUCAGGUGAUCUGCCUGCCCUCGGACUCCCAAAGUGCUGGGAUUACAGGCGUGAGCCACCGAGCCUGGCCUAAAACUUCUUUCAAUGGCACUGACCUUUCUGUGUUGUCACUCAGUCAUAAUAAAAUCCCAGGUACAAUCAGAAUGCUGCAUUCUCCAGCCAUAAAGAUCGCUCCCUCUUUUCAAACAUCCCUGUCCCUCAAGGCCUAGCUCAAGACGGUCACCUUAAGAAAAGCUCCCUUUGUCGAGCAGUGACUCCAUACCAGGCCCUGCUUUAAACGCUUUAUCUGCAUUAUCUUACUUGAUUCUCGCAAUAGCCCUGGGUGGUAGGUGCAAUUAUUAUCUCCAGUUUAUAAAAGAAGAUACUGAGGGUCAGAGAAGUUAAGUGACUGGCUCAAGGUGUCACAUUCAGUAAGCGUUGAAGGGGUCUGUGUUGGUCUGUCCUUGAAGAUGCCCCCUACGACUACACUUUCAAUGAUUUCUGCCUUGAACCUGGCCCCAUGACUAAAAACCUCACGUCAAACUCAGGCAGCAAUAACGGGAAGGCUUGGUGCCUCCCAUCACUGGAGCAACUAGUCUAGCUGGUCACUAAGUGGACAGCCCCUCUGUUUCCCUGCAGUAACUAAUUAGCAGAAUAGCACAAAGAUAAAACCCGAAGGCCUUUGUGCAGAAGUUUCAGAGACAUAAGCAAAGUGAGAGCAUUAGGUUCUGCAUAUCUUUCUUGUUGUUGUUGUUGAGACAGAGUCUCGCUCUGUUGCCCAGGCUGGAGUGCAGUGGCACGAUCUUGGCUCACUGCAACCUCCGCCUCCCGGCUUCAAGUGAUUAUUCUGCCUCAGCUUCCCAAGUAACUGGGACUACAGGCGUGCGCCACCACUCCUGGCUAAUUUUUGUAUUUUUAGUAGAGACAGGGUUUCACCAUAUAGGCCAGGCUGGUCUCAAAGUCCUCAACUCGUGAUCCACCCGCCUUAGCCUCACAAAGUGCUGGGAUUACAGGUGUGAGCCACUGCACCCAGUCACAUGUCGUAUUUUAAAAGGGAUUUAAAAGUAUCAUUGGAUUGUUUGUAACACGAAGGAUAAAUGCUUGAGGGGAUGGAUACCCAUUCUCCAGCAUGUCAUGAUUACACAUUGCAUGCCUGUAUCAAAACACCUCAUGUACCCCAUAAAUAUAUACACCUACUAUGUACCACAAAAAUUAAAAUAAAUGGUGGGUGAGAAGAAA
rnacentral:lncRNA from 10 species